UAAUGACGCCAGACUUUAUCCCUGCAAGCACGAUGUCGCAAAGACGGGACGGGUAGAGAGGGAGAGACCUGGUUUUGCGACGGCUGCCCUCGCUUUACGGGCAGCCGAUGCUACCUUAACCGCUGGUUGAGGGGUGGGGGGGAGGAAGGUUUGGCGCGAGCCAAAACGGAGGUGCGUCCCGGGGGGUGAAGCCCAAGGCAGGGUCCAAAAAGGAACAUCCCAAGUAGCCAAGGAGCCUAUCUCAGAAAUCUUGAGGAAGGAGAGGAUGGCUAACAACCUUUACAGGGUGAGAACUUCUGUAUUGUCAACUGUGAUGCACUUGACAUGUUCCCUUCUCCUCAGUUUCCUUCUUGGCCUGAACUUAAAUGGUAGGAAGAGAGGCUAGGUUCCUUGCCUGUCCUUGAGGCUAAGCUAGUCAAAGAUUAGGAAAGGGAGUAAAUGGAAACUACAGAACUAGGGAAUGAGGUGGGGUGCUAAAUAGGGGAAAUUGUGAGAGCAGGUCUGUUGCACUGGGGUUCAUAAUACCAGUUACCAUCUUUUCAACCAACUUCAUUUCCUUCUGCUUGUACCAACUCUAAUGCACUCAGGAAGAGGUUGUGGGCUUCUUUUUUGUUGGGAGAUUAGAAAUUGUUUUCCCUUUUCCAAAGAGGGGAAGAUCAGGAUUAUUAAGUUGUUUCCUUAAAAAAUCUUCUUGAUAGGAAGGACUUAGGGAGAAAGCUGGAAGAUCCAGGAAGAAAAAUCUGGGAGCUGUUUUAAUUCAAAUAUCAGCCAUAUUUAGUCUUUAAAACCAGGUGUGCGAAGCCAAGAAGCACCUGAGCCUGAAACAUGAUGCUAUAAUUAUUUAAAUGGGGUUUGGGAGUAGGGGAAGGAGAAGUGAAAUGGGCACCUCUCACUCCACGGGAUGUCUGCUUUUUCCAGAGAAGACUCGUAGGUAAAGUCUACAUUGCCCCAAUAAUCAGUGCCAGCUCAGGUUUCCAGAAAAAGAAGCAGUAAUCUAGGGUACCAUUUGUGAAAGAGAGCUGAAAGUGUAUGUUCAAGAAUGGUAUUGAUUAAAGGCACAAUUAUUCACUUUGCUUAUUGCACCUCAGUUUAGCUCUGACAAUGACUCACGUAGUUCAAGCAAAAACACUGGCCCUGACUGGUUUGUCAGUUACCUCUGGCCUGUCUGUUCCCUGGCCUCCUUGCGAAGGGUAGAAAAUGGUAUUAACAUAGGCACAGACUCAGCAAAGAAAUACUUUGGGAUGGAUGUCUCCUUUUCCUCCCACAGCCUACCCCUCCCCCGGUGGCCCUCAGAAGCUGCUGUAUGCUCUCUGUUUCCUUGUUGUCCUUCCAGCUUUGCCCCAGGCUGCCAGGCACAGUUAGACUUGGCUACAAGUACAAGCAUAGCCCACCUUCUGUUGCUGCCUCUUCUCCCCCUCCACUUAAGAAGCAUAGUCUACCUCCUUUUUUUUCCAAGCCAGUUUUGUCCUGAGCUCAUGUCUAGUUAUCCCAGGAGCAAAAUGCCCUUUGGCUUCCGGUAUUCAAUUUGGUCUGGGUAAGACUUACAGGGGGCCCAGAGGAAGUAAUUCUUUUGGGCACAGCAGAGGCCUCCAGGUGAAGGCUAGUUCAGGGAAGCAAAAGGAAUGAGUAGUAUUGGUAAUCAGUCCUUGGAUCACACAAACAACUGGAGUGAGAGUCAUAACAGUGGGAGUGACCUCAAUGAGACCCUAUUCCUAACGCCCAAGUACAAUGAGCUUUUCCAGUAAACACUCUGCCUACCCAGAGUACCCAUGGCUGAGAAGCAGCUUAGUCUGUUUCUCCCAUUUGCUCCGGGCAGCUGAAACUGAGGCACAGGAUACCACAGCUGGUUUCUCCAUCGACUGAGUUGAUUCCAAUAAGACCAGGCGAAGAUUCCUUCAUAAACAGCAACACAAACUGAGGGGGAACUAUGUUGGAAUCUCAACAUCAAGGGCUCCCUUCUUGGAAAGCGGGGACACAUAACUCCCACUGCUGUCACCUGCCACGGGGAAAGAACCCAAGACUCAUGGAAGACUAUUAAGGGCCUCGUGAACAGAAGACCAAAGCCUUUCUGCAUCAGGAAUAACUCGGAUGAGGUCUCAUUUCCUUCUAGUAGCAAGAGGGGAACAAGACCCCUAACACAAUAAACUACAGCCACUUACCACACCUCAAGGAACCACGUACUUUUUUUUUCUUCUGCCUUGGGAAAGGAUCCCAGCCAAGCAUCUAUAAGGGGUGUUGUCUUCUGUUACCACAUUUAUUAGGAUUGGCUCCAUUGGUCUCCAGACCCAGUGGGUAUUGAAUGGCUUUCUCUCCCUCAAGUCCCACAUCCCUGAAGGCCAAAUGAGUUAUACUUCUUAUGGUGAUGCCCAGGAAGGCUUAAAUGGUAAAUAUUGAAGUAAAAAUACCCACAAAGCUGAGGAAGUUAGCCGUUUAAAGAAAAAUAAUCAUGUAACCCAUAGAUGCUCUCAUUGUGUAUUUAUCUUGGCUUCUCAACACCUUCAAUCCCUACUUAGAGGCUGCCAGGCCUCUCAACCAUCCUGCUGUAACCUAACUUUGGAACCCUAGAAUUCAGUCUUAAGAGAAAGAUUUUUUAGAAAUAAGGAACUUAAACCUCAAUACAUUUAUGUUCCACAAACCUACCCCUACAGGAACCAAAUCUCUAUGCUUCUCAAAACUAAAACAAAAAUGAUUCCAUUCUGAAGCUACAGAGCAACUCAGAUUGCUUCCUACCCUCCCUCAGCUCACAUCCUAAGAUCAUGAACAGCAUCUCUGGAAUUCACAGUUCUCAGGACUCUUCUAUAGUGCUGCUGCUAAUAACAAUAGUAACACAUAGUGCUGCACAGCACUUUAAAAUACUCUACACAUAAUCUCAUAUGAUCCUUGUGCAUUAUUAUCCCCAUUUUACAGUUGAGGGAAGAGAGUACCAAGAGUUUAAGUGGUUUGACCAGGAUUGCAAGGCCAUCCAGUAGCAGACCCAGGGCUAUAACCCAGAUGUCAGUGAUAAGAAGUUCUUCCCACUACAUCAUGCUAACUCCCUUCAAAUAGUUUCGUGCUUUCAGAAGCUGCUCCUGACAUAUGUCUGUGGAUGAGACAGAGUGAGGGGAUUAAAGAUCUCUAAUGGACUUUGGUUAGACCAGAUGGCCUCUGAUACCCUUCCCUGCUCUUAAAUCCAGUCCAUUGGGCAAGAGUCUGGCCAUCUUGUGCUUUUUUAUCAUCUGGACGGAGAGCACAGGGAUGACUACCUGAAAGGAGAGA